rnacentral:sRNA from 1 species
CUUCCUCAGAGUGAAGAUACACAACAGCAAAUCAUCAGGGAGACUUUCCAUUUGGUAUCUAAGAGAGAUGAAAAUGUUUGUAAUUUCCUAGAAGGAGGAUUAUUGAUUGGAGGAUCUGACAACAAACUGAUUUAUAGACAUUAUGCAACGUUAUAUUUUGUCUUCUGUGUGGAUUCUUCAGAAAGUGAACUUGGCAUUUUAGAUCUAAUUCAAGUAUUUGUGGAAACAUUAGACAAAUGUUUUGAAAAUGUCUGUGAACUGGAUUUGAUUUUCCAUGUAGACAAGGUAC